AACCGGGUCUAAUACCGGAUACGACCUCCUGGCGCAUGCCAUGGGGGUGGAAAGCUUUAUGCGGUUUUGGAUGGACUCGCGGCCUAUCAGCUUGUUGGUUGGGGUAAUGGCCCACCAAGGCGACGACGGGUAGCCGGCCUGAGAGGGUGACCGGCCACACUGGGACUGAGACACGGCCCAGACUCCUACGGGAGGCAGCAGUGGGGAAUAUUGCACAAUGGGCGGAAGCCUGAUGCAGCGACGCCGCGUGAGGGAUGACGGCCUUCGGGUUGUAAACCUCUUUCAGCAGGGAAGAAGCGAAAGUGACGGUACCUGCAGAAGAAGCGCCGGCUAACUACGUGCCAGCAGCCGCGGUAAUACGUAAGGCGCAAGCGUUAUCCGGAAUUAUUGGGCGUAAAGAGCUCGUAGGCGGUUUGUCGCGUCUGCUGUGAAAG
rnacentral:rRNA from 1 species